UUUGUUUGUUGUUUUUCUAAUAUAUCCUGACAUUUUCUAGAUUCCUCAGUACAGAAAGGCUCAAGUUCAUCAGUAGUACGAGAAUCUGUGAAGAAGGGCUCAAGUUCAUCCAUAGUGCGGGACUCUGGAAGUGAAGAUUUAAAGAAUUCGGAUAUAAGUGUGGCUAAAAAGAAGAAGGGAGGAAAUUCAUCAGUAAACUGGAACCUGUGAAUAAGAGAUCAAGUUCCAACAAUAGACUGGGAUUUGUGGAAAAAACAUCGGAUUCAGUAGUUACUUGGUGAGCUGGCAGGUGGCGAGGCACAAAAUAAUUUCUGCGAAUGGCCCAGUGUUGAGCAUUAAAAAACUGUAAAAUA